GCCUCGGUGGCGAAAUUGGUAGACGCAAGGGACUUAAAAUCCCUCGACUUUACGGUCGUGCCGGUUCGACUCCGGCCCGAGGCA
rnacentral:tRNA from 1 species